rnacentral:rRNA from 1 species
GAGCGGUAGAGAGAAGCUUGCUUCUCUUGAGAGCGGCGGACGGGUGAGUAAUGCCUAGGAAUCUGCCUGGUAGUGGGGGAUAACGUUCGGAAACGAACGCUAAUACCGCAUACGUCCUACGGGAGAAAGCAGGGGACCUUCGGGCCUUGCGCUAUCAGAUGAGCCUAGGUCGGAUUAGCUAGUUGGUGAGGUAAUGGCUCACCAAGGCGACGAUCCGUAACUGGUCUGAGAGGAUGAUCAGUCACACUGGAACUGAGACACGGUCCAGACUCCUACGGGAGGCAGCAGUGGGGAAUAUUGGACAAUGGGCGAAAGCCUGAUCCAGCCAUGCCGCGUGUGUGAAGAAGGUCUUCGGAUUGUAAAGCACUUUAAGUUGGGAGGAAGGGCAGUUACCUAAUACGUGAUUGUUUUGACGUUACCGACAGAAUAAGCACCGGCUAACUCUGUGCCAGCAGCCGCGGUAAUACAGAGGGUGCAAGCGUUAAUCGGAAUUACUGGGCGUAAAGCGCGCGUAGGUGGUUUGUUAAGUUGGAUGUGAAAUCCCCGGGCUCAACCUGGGAACUGCAUUCAAAACUGACUGACUAGAGUAUGGUAGAGGGUGGUGGAAUUUCCUGUGUAGCGGUGAAAUGCGUAGAUAUAGGAAGGAACACCAGUGGCGAAGGCGACCACCUGGACUAAUACUGACACUGAGGUGCGAAAGCGUGGGGAGCAAACAGGAUUAGAUACCCUGGUAGUCCACGCCGUAAACGAUGUCAACUAGCCGUUGGGAGCCUUGAGCUCUUAGUGGCGCAGCUAACGCAUUAAGUUGACCGCCUGGGGAGUACGGCCGCAAGGUUAAAACUCAAAUGAAUUGACAGGGGCCCGCACAAGCGGUGGAGCAUGUGGUUUAAUUCGAUGCAACGCGAAGAACCUUACCUGGCCUUGACAUCCACGGAAUUUGGCAGAGAUGCCUUAGUGCCUUCGGGAACCGUGAGACAGGUGCUGCAUGGCUGUCGUCAGUUCGUGUUGUGAAAUGUU